GACGAACGCUGGCGGCGUGCUUAACACAUGCCAGUCGAACGGAAAGGCCCUGCUUUUGUGGGGUGCUCGAGUGGCGAACGGGUGAGUAACACGUGAGUAACCUGCCCUUGACUUUGGGAUAACUUCAGGAAACUGGGGCUAAUACCGGAUAGGAGCUCCUGCUGCAUGGUGGGGGUUGGAAAGUUUCGGCGGUUGGGGAUGGACUCGCGGCUUAUCAGCUUGUUGGUGGGGUAGUGGCUUACCAAGGCUUUGACGGGUAGCCGGCCUGAGAGGGUGACCGGCCACAUUGGGACUGGGAUACGGCCCAGAUCCCUCGGGGGGGCAGCGGUGGGGAAUAUGGCACAAGGGGGGGAAGCCUGAUGCAGCAACGCGGGGGGGGGGAUGACGGCCUUCGGGUUGUAAACCGCUUUCGCCUGUGACGAAGCGUGAGUGAGGGUAAUGGGUAAAGAAGCACCGGCUAACUACGU
rnacentral:rRNA from 1 species